UAGAAGAUAUUACACAAUUAACCUACUUUUACAUACUUUUAUCUAUUCAUAUAGGUAAUUAUAUGUAUGUCCGUGACAUUACCCCCCCUUCUAGGGACGAGUUCCACGAAGAGCGGUGAUUAUAUAUUGAGAAAAUCUAAUAUGCGGCGAAUUGUAUUUGCUAUAUACUCUGAUCUUUGUUCUCUUCGAAGAUAGUUGAUGGGUCCUCUUAGCCAUCGAUAGUGUCCCAUUCCAAGGCGAGAAGACCA
rnacentral:lncRNA from 1 species